rnacentral:misc_RNA from 1 species
CAGCUCGUUAAGAAGUGUCUCAUAUAAUCGGUUUCCAAACUUUAUGCUUUUAUGGCAGCGCUAGGAAAACGGCUCUAGACAGAUUACAAAANNNNNNNNNNNNNAAGACAAAUAUAACCCAAAGUCUUUGCAAUUGGACAAAGAAUACAGGCCAGACAUGAUAGAGAACAAAAACGCCUGUAAAGUAGAGGGGUUGAAAUUAUGCUUCCAGUUAUGCACCAACGAAUCUAUGCACAGUUGGAUGCCAAUUCAUGAAAAUCCGCACCAAAUGAAGCUUUCCCAGCUUUCCCACAAUAUACCACUGGAAAACUGAUCCCCAAACUGCUAUGGAGAUUGCAUUUAGUUAUAAUCAUCGCUACUCAAUUGGGAUUCAUCAUUUUCUUCCCCAUAAAGACGUUCAUCAAUAUCUUCAUCAUUGUUGUCAUCGUCAUCAUCAUCCAUUUGGUCAUUAUGCAGUGAGACAUAAGCUUUGUUCACGGCAGCCUUGUCAAUCUGUGCAGUUACCAGCUGUAAACGACCUGAUAAUUGUAGUAAAGGUUGAACAGCCACCCCUC